GUUGGCCUCGGAUCAGGUGGGGAUACCCGCUGAACUUAAGCAUAUCAAUAAGCGGAGGAAAAGAAACCAACAGGGAUUGCCUCAGUAACGGCGAGUGAAGCGGCAACAGCUCAAAUUUGAAAUCUGGCGCAAGCCCGAGUUGUAAUUUGUAGAGGAUGUUUCGGGUGAAGCCACGGUCCAAGUCCCUUGGAACAGGACGUCAUAGAGGGUGAGAACCCCGUACCUGGCCGUCGGCUCCCCCCGCUGUGAAACUCCUUCGACGAGUCGAGUUGUUUGGGAAUGCAGCUCUAAAUUGGUGGUAAAUUCCAUCUAAAGCUAAAUACCGGCCAGAGACCGAUAGCGCACAAGUAGAGUGAUCGAAAGAUGAAAAGCACUUUGAAAAGAGAGUUAAAAAGUACGUGAAAUUGUUGAAAGGGAAGCGCUUGCGGCCAGACUUGCCCGCGGUUGCUCAGCCCGCCUUUUGGCGGGUGCACUCUUCCGCGGUCAGGCCAGCAUCGGUUUGGGCGGUCGGAUAAAGGCGUUGGGAACGUGGCCUCCCCUCGGGGAGGUGUUAUAGCCCGGCGCGCAAUGCGACCAGCCCGGACCGAGGUUCGCGCUUUGCUAGGAUGCUGGCGUAAUGGCCGUAAGCGGCCCGUCUUGAAACACGGACCAAGGAGUCUAACAUCUAUGCGAGUGUUUGGGUGUCAAACCCGUGCGCGUAAUGAAAGUGAACGGAGGUGGGAACCGCAAGGUGCACCAUCGACCGAUCCUGAUGUCUUCGGAAGGAUUUGAGUAAGAGCAUAGCUGUUGGGACCCGAAAGAUGGUGAACUAUGCGUGAAUAGGGUGAAGCCAGAGGAAACUCUGGUGGAGGCUCGCAGCGGUUCUGACGUGCAAAUCGAUCGUCAAAUUUGCGUAUAGGGGCGAAAGACUAAUCGAAC
rnacentral:rRNA from 1 species